rnacentral:rRNA from 1 species
UACAGAGGACUGCAAGCUGUUUGAUUCGGAAGUUCACUGGGCGUAAAGGGUGCGCAGGCUGGCCAAAGUGUGGUGAAGGCCGUGGAAAGCCCGAUGCUUAACAUCGGGAAUUGCACCUCAAACUUACAUGGCGUAGAGCAUUGGAGAGGGUAGGCGGAAUUCCCAGUGUAGUGGUGAAAUACGUAGAGAUUGGGAAGAACACCAGUGCGAAGGCGGACUAUCUGGACGGUUUCUGACACUAAGACUCGGAAAGCGAG